rnacentral:rRNA from 1 species
AAUGAACGCUGGCGGCAUGCCUUACACAUGCAAGUCGAACGGCAGCAUGACCUAGCUUGCUUGGUUGAUGGCGAGUGGCGAACGGGUGAGUAAUGCAUCGGAACGUGCCUUUUAGUGGGGGAUAACGUAGCGAAAGUUACGCUAAUACCGCAUAUUCUCUGAGGAGGAAAGCAGGGGACCUUCGGGCCUUGCGCUAGAAGAGCGGCCGAUGUCGGAUUAGCUAGUUGGUGAGGUAAAGGCUCACCAAGGCAACGAUCCGUAGCGGGUCUGAGAGGAUGAUCCGCCACACUGGGACUGAGACACGGCCCAGACUCCUACGGGAGGCAGCAGUGGGGAAUGUUGGACAAUGGGCGCAAGCCUGAUCCAGCCAUGCCGCGUGAGUGAAGAAGGCCUUCGGGUUGUAAAGCUCUUUCGGCUGGGAAGAAAUCGCACCCUCUAAUACAGGGUGUGGAUGACGGUACCAGCAUAAGAAGCACCGGCUAACUACGUG